rnacentral:rRNA from 1 species
AGCCUGAACGCUGGCGGCGUGGCUAAGACAUGCAAGUCGUACGGUGUAGCAAUACACAGUGGCGAACGGGUGAGUAAUGAAUCGCUAAUGUGCCCCGGACUCUGGGAUAGCCGGCCGAAAGGCCGGGUAAUACCAGAUGACAUAACCUUUCCGCAUGGUGAGGUUCUCAAAGGUCCGCCGGUCUGGGAGCAGGCGAUUUUGUAUCAGCUAGUGGUGAGGUACGCUCACCAAGGCGACGACGCAUAGCCGGACUGAGAGUUGGCCGGCCACAUUGGACUGAGACACUGCCCAGACUCCCUACGGGGGGGACUCGACGAGUAACGAAGUCCUUCCGCAAUGCAACGAAAGUGUGACGAGCGACGCCGCGUGUGGACGAAGUCCGUUCGGGAUUACGUAAACCAACCGUUGGUACGUAAGGGGUAAAGAAAAAGGUUUCC